rnacentral:rRNA from 1 species
GGAAGCGUUCGUACGGACGACUGAAACCCUUUGUGAACUUAUACCUAUCUGUUGCCUCGGCGCAGGCCGGCCUCUUCACUGAGGCCCCCUGGAAACAGGGAGCAGCCCGCCGGCGGCCAACUAAACUCUUGUUUCUAUAGUGAAUCUCUGAGUAAAAAACAUAAAUGAAUCAAAACUUUCAACAACGGAUCUCUUGGUUCUGGCAUCGAUGAAGAACGCAGCGAAAUGCGAUAAGUAAUGUGAAUUGCAGAAUUCAGUGAAUCAUCGAAUCUUUGAACGCACAUUGCGCCCUCUGGUAUUCCGGAGGGCAUGCCUGUUCGAGCGUCAUUUCAACCCUCAAGCCUGGCUUGGUGAUGGGGCACUGCCUGUAAAAGGGCAGGCCCUGAAAUCUAGUGGCGAGCUCGCCAGGACCCCGAGCGUAGUAGUUAUAUCUCGCUUUGGAAGGCCCUGGCGGUGCCCUGCCGUUAAACCCCCAACUUCUGAAAAUUUGACCUCGGAUCAGGUAGGAAUACCCGCUGAACUUAAGCAUAUCAAUAAGCGGAGGA